rnacentral:tRNA from 1 species
GGCCUCGUAGCUCAGUUGAUAGAACGUGCGCGUAGAAAGCGUAGGCGGCGUCCACGCGUGGGUUCGAAUCCAACCGAGGCUA